rnacentral:rRNA from 1 species
GACGAACGCUGGCGGCGUGCUUAACACAUGCAAGUCGAGCGGUAAGGCCCUUUCGGGGGUACACGAGCGGCGAACGGGUGGGUAACACGUGGGUGACCUGCCCUCAGCUCUGGGAUAAGCCUGGGAAACCGGGUCUAAUACUGGAUAUGACUCCAUGACGCAUGUUGUGGGGUGGAAAGCCUUGUGCGGCUGAGGAUGGGCCCGCGGCCUAUCAGCUUGUUGGUGGGGUGAUGGCCUACCAAGGCGACGACGGGUAGCCGGCCUGAGAGGGCGACCGGCCACACUGGGACUGAGACACGGCCCAGACUCCUACGGGAGGCAGCAGUGGGGAAUCUUGCGCAAUGGGCGAAAGCCUGACGCAGCGACGCCGCGUGAGGGAUGACGGCCUGGUU